UGUACACGCUGUGACUAGCAUAUCAAUAAGCGGAGGAAAAGAAACUAACAAGGAUUCCCCUAGUAACGGCGAGUGAAGCGGGAAGAGCUCAAAUUUGAAAUCUUAAAGGGUUUCCCUUUACGAAUUGUAGUUUAAAGAAGUGUUUUCUGUUGAGGUUUUGGUAAAAGUUCUUUGGAAUAGGACAUCAUAGAGGGUGAGAAUCCCGUAUUUGACCUUUACUUUCAACUUUGUGAUACACUUUCAAAGAGUCGGAUUGUUUGGGAAUGCAGUCCAAAAUGGGUGGUAAAUUUCAUCUAAAGCUAAAUAUUGGCGAGAGACCGAUAGCGAACAAGUACCGUGAGGGAAAGAUGAAAAGAACUUUGAAAAGAGAGUUAAACAGUACGUGAAAUUGUCAAAAGGGAAGCGUUUGACACCAGUGUUGUUUUUCUGAAAAUCAAUUAAAGAACUGUUUAUGCUAAGUUGUUUAGACUUUAUCAGCUAACUGUUUAGUUUUGAGCUUUUCUUUAAUGCACUUUUCAGUUAACAAGUCAACAUCAAUUUCUUUUGCUGUAAAAAAGCUUGAGGAGGGUGGCUUGAGAUUCGUCUUAAGUGUUUAUAGCCUCUUGCCUAUGCAGUCGGAGAGAUUGAGGUCUGCAGCGUAGAUCCUUCGGGGCUAAAUGCAUUUGUGCUAAGUUAUAGCAUUUUAUAGACAACUUGUUGACUAUGAUUUGUCUUGUAGCUUACUCGCUUAUGUUAUUUUACCUACGCUUAGGAUGUUGAGUCGUAGAGCACGCAG
rnacentral:rRNA from 1 species